rnacentral:rRNA from 1 species
AUUGAACGCUGGCGGCAUGCUUUACACAUGCAAGUCGAACGGUAACAGGUUAAGCUGACGAGUGGCGAACGGGUGAGUAAUGCAUCGGAACGUGCCCGGUCGUGGGGGAUAACACUUCGAAAGAAGUGCUAAUACCGCAUACGAUCUGAGGAUGAAAACGGGGGACCGUAAGGCCUCGCGCGAUCGGAGCGGCCGAUGUCAGAUUAGGUAGUUGGUGGGGUAAAGGCUCACCAAGCCGACGAUCUGUAGCUGGUCUGAGAGGACGACCAGCCACACUGGGACUGAGACACGGCCCAGACUCCUACGGGAGGCAGCAGUGGGGAAUUUUGGACAAUGGGCGCAAGCCUGAUCCAGCAAUGCCGCGUGCAGGAAGAAGGCCUUCGGGUUGUAAACUGCUUUUGUACGGAGCGAAAAGGCUCUCUCUAAUACAGGGGGCUCAUGACGGUACCGUAAGAAUAAGCACCGGCUAACUACGUGCCAGCAGCCGCCGUAACAC